GACGAACGCUGGCGGCGCGCCUAACACAUGCAAGUCGAACGAGCGAGAGAGAGCUUGCUUUCUCGAGCGAGUGGCGAACGGGUGAGUAACGCGUGAGGAACCUGCCUCAAAGAGGGGGACAACAGUUGGAAACGACUGCUAAUACCGCAUAAGCCCACGACCCGGCAUCGGGUAGAGGGAAAAGGAGCAAUCCGCUUUGAGAUGGCCUCGCGUCCGAUUAGCUAGUUGGUGAGGUAACGGCCCACCAAGGCGACGAUCGGUAGCCGGACUGAGAGGUUGAACGGCCACAUUGGGACUGAGACACGGCCCAGACUCCUACGGGAGGCAGCAGUGGGGAAUAUUGCACAAUGGGGGAAACCCUGAUGCAGCGACGCCGCGUGGAGGAAGAAGGUCUUCGGAUUGUAAACUCCUGUUGUCGAGGAAGAUAAUGACGGUACUCAACAAGGAAGUGACGGCUAACUACGUG
rnacentral:rRNA from 1 species